AUACGGAGGGUGUAAGCGUUGUUCGGAAUUAUUGGGCGUAAAGCGCGUGUAGGCGGUUAGUUAAGUCUGAUGCGAAAGCCCCGGGCUCAACCUGGGAAGUGCAUUGGAAACUGGCAAACUUGAGUACGGGAGAGGGAAGUGGAAUUUCGAGUGUAGGGGUGAAAUCCGUAGAUAUUCGAAGGAACACCAGUGGCGAAGGCGGCUUCCUGGACCGAUACUGACGCUGAGACGCGAAAGCGUGGGGAGCAAACAGGAUUAGAUACCCUGGUAGUCC
rnacentral:rRNA from 1 species